AGAGUUUGAUCAUGGCUCAGGAUGAACGCUGUAGGUCUGCUUAACACAUGCAAGUCGAACGGAAUCCUUAUUGGAUUUAGUGGCGGACGGGUGAGUAACACGUAAGAACCUGCCUCUUGGACGGGGACAACAGUUGGAAACGGCUGCUAAUCCCGGAUAAGCCGAAAGGUAAAAGAUUUAUCGCCAAGAGAGGGGCUUGCGUCUGAUUAGCUAGUUGGUAGGGUAAGAGCCUACCAAGGCGACGAUCAGUAGCUGGUCUGAGAGGAUGAUCAGCCUCACUGGGACUGAGACACGGCCCAGACUCCUACGGGAGGCAGCAGUGGGGAAUUUUCCGCAAUGGGCGAAAGCCUGACGGAGCAAGACCGCGUGGGGGAGGAAGGUUCUUGGAUUGUCAACCCCUUUUCUCAGGGAAGAAGAAAGUGACGGUACCUGAGGAAUCAGCAUCGGCUAACUCCGUGCCAGCAGCCGCGGCAAUACGGAGGAUGCAAGCGUUAUCCGGAAUGAUUGGGCGUAAAGAGUCCGUAGGUGGCUGAUCAAGUCUGCUGUUAAAGAGCGAGGCUUAACUUCGUCAAAGCAGUGGAAACUGAAGAGCUAGAGUGUAGUAGGGGCAGAGGGAAUUCCUGGUGUAGCGGUGAAAUGCGUAGAGAUCAGGAAGAACACCGGUGGCGAAAGCGCUCUGCUGGGCUACAACUGACACUGA
rnacentral:rRNA from 1 species